rnacentral:rRNA from 1 species
UCUGGUGAUGAUGGCGGAGGGGACACACCCGUUCCCAUGCCGAACACGGCCGUUAAGCC